ACAACACAUGCUUUGUGCUUAAUCGGCAUUAGUUUAAUGAGGGACACGUUGACAUCACGUGACCACUGACGUCACACUUGGUGUUAUAAAGUCUGAAGGAAGGCAAGACAAAGCAUCUGACGACGACAACUGCGAAACAUCGGAGAGAGUCAUCAUCUCAGGAGGUGAACUACAACAACAGCGACCAUGACAACGGUUGUUAAGGUGACGACUGUACUGCUGUGCGCCAUGGUCCUCAUGAUGGACACCUUGCCGACCUCGGGGGCCACGAUUGACAAACGACAACCGAGAUGCCUAAACUUCAAUGAAGCAUGUGGCAGUGGUGGUAUCGAAGGUGAUGGUUACGAUGCAGUUUGCUGUGAAGGCCUCACCUGCGUCGCCGACUUUAUGGACCGUCGUAAAUGCUCGACACUGAUUGGAUAGGCGGCGCCGUGUACCCCGGGUGUCCUGCGCUCACCUUCCACUCGCUCUCACCUCGACCAACACUCGAUGACAAGUCCUGCCAACAGGUCAAACGUCGUCCUCACGUGUCGACAGUUGUGGAUGACGUAAUAAACUAUUUAAAAUCGAUUCCGUCUUGUAGUUGACUGUCGUGUGGCAUGAGAAUGGUACCCGAGUGACUGGAUGCACUCUUCUACUGCUACAGCUGUUUAAUAAAGACUGAGUAAAGUAUUGUUAAUUUAAAAUUCGCUGUCACUUCAUGACACAGACGCUAGAGAAAAUAAUUGCUUGCUCGUUAACACAGUUACAGUGUGUCAUCACUAAUUGUUGGCGUUGCCUCCACCAGUCAAACUCCACAAGUUCCCUCAAAAACCUUCAGCCCCGACUACCUAUUUCCUCUCCACGGAACAUUUCAGACCUUUCACCCCACCUCCAUUGUCACCUCUAUUGUCACCACGCACGUCAUCACCAUGGUCACCGCCUCUUGCUUGGUUGGCUGCCUGCUGUGGCUGGAAAAAGCUUCCACCUCGAGCUGUCGAAACGAAGAUGACGAUGAGGAAGUCAGUCAGACGUCUGGGAGUCGAGGGCAGCAGCCGACAGAACCUGCAACAGUCAGUUGAGUGGAAAGCAUUUGACAAAAUCUUCAUCAGACGUGCUGCUGGUCAGGGCAGACAACUGUUACCCAUGUCUGCUCCUCCGCCGUCUGCUUCACAGGGACCCGCCUCAACACAGGCCCAGACAUUCUGGCUCCAGUGGGUGGAGGCCGCGUACCCUGAACUUCACUCAGGCGCCUACUUCCUGCCUCCUGUCGACUUCAACCGCGUGCCGAUGACCACAGAGAUCAUUGAUCCUCUAAAUAUUCGUUUCCUUGUCCUACAACUUGCCCCGACAUCAACUGGUCCACCCAUCGCUGGUCUGCCUGGUGUUCCUCAGCCUCCUCUUGUGCAGGACAGUGACAUCAGAGAUGAUGCAGCCAUGCAGCGGGUGUUCGUCUGUCUGCAGAAAAUGUCUGAAGAGCAAAGAGAAAUCAUGUUUGGACUGAGUCAACUUCUGUUCGGACAGUACCUGGGUGAACCUUGUUAUGCUGCAGCGGCUGCCCAGCUCCCCAUACCCGCCAGCCUUCCUCCUGCUCUGCCACGGAACUGGAAACAUGGAGACUUUGAUGUGCUUCUUAUUCACCGCCGCUACGGUCUUGUCGUCUGUGAGGUGAAGUCUGUUGAUGACAUCCUAACAAAGGUCAACAUUUCACAGCACAAAAUAGACGACACCAUCAGAAAAAAACUCACCCAGGCCGUGUCACAGCUGGACAAGGCGGAGGCCAUGUUGUCUCACCUGGUGUCCGACAUCGCUCCCGGUCUGCGCAUCACUAAGACCAUCGCUUUCCCCAACCUCACGACUGAUCAGGUGCAACAGGCCAUCUCCGGUGACCCACACCUGGUCAAGGACCUGUGUCGAUGUCUAGGAACAUCAGACCCCGCUGACAUCCCUGGUCUGUGUCUGUGCUGUGAUCAGUUGUCUGACCCCAAGACCCCGUGUGACGUCAGUAGUCACGUGCUGAGGGAACUGGGACACUGGUGGCAGCGACGUGUGGCUGGGGCUGGACCUGACAGUCACAUGACACGUAGAGUGUACAAGACACUGGUAGCAAGGUGAGUAGUCGAAGUGUAGCGAGAUAUGAUAAUACAGCCACGUGUGCCUGGGGCUGGGCCUGCCAGUCACGUGACCUGUGACGUGCACAAAACUCUGGUAGCCAGGUUCUGUGGUCCGGCGACAACAGUGACUGUGCCAUGUACAUCUCCCCCUCGCCUGAGUGUCAAGACCCUGAGCCACGUGGUGUCGUUGACAGGAGAGUGCUACACUGCUCAAAUAGCUCUCUUCCCGGAGCAAGUUCACCUGCUCAACACCAUGCCUCCCAUGGUGUAUCUGUCAGGACCGCCAGGUACAGGUAAAACUGUGGUGCUGCUGCUGGUGGCCAUGGAAUGGCUGCGAUGUGGCCACCACGUCUACGUUGUCAGCGUCUGGUCGGAAAGUCACGUGGCGUGCAUCAUGCUGUACCACCUGCUGCUGCAGACUAUCAACACACAGCAAACAGCAGGGGUCACAGGGGUCACAGCUGGCCACCUUCACCUCCUGCAGUAUGAGUUUAAAGCUACGGGAGGCAAAGACGUGGACAAGGCUGUCAAUGAAUUGUCGCAGGCGGCCAAUGGACGGCCGCUGUAUGUCAUCGCUGAUGAAAUGUCAACUGACAACUUCCAUUUCUUCUUUUACAAACUACUAAUGCAAGUUCCUCGUCUCUAUAUCUGGGCGGCAAACUGUGAUAACAUCAUGCUACCCGGUGACUGGUCGUGGAAUUCCUCACCAGACCCCUCCGUUGCCCGCCGGUAGUCGUGCGGGAAGUGGAGAAGGACAAGAAAAAGGUUGAAUUCAUGUUUUUCAAAACCUACACUCCACGUGGCAUACCUGACCACACAGACGGCCCGCCAGUCAAGGUGUUGUACCAUCGAAGCUUUCAAGAUGACCACUCGCCCACCCACCCAGCUGACUGUGUCAGGUGUGGUCGUGAGGUGGCCAGCUUCCUACGCCGACUAGGUGUUGGUCUUCCGGGGACUGUCACAGCUACGACAACCGCAACACCGCCGUGCCUGCAGUGGCGAGACGUGAUGGUGGUGUACCGCAGCGAGCAGACGACUGACCCCGCCAUCGUCACGGGGCUGAGGGCAGGCGGUGUCGCAGCUCGCGCCAUGACAGAUGACGACAUCGAGGACGUGGCCACGGCUCGCAGUGACGUGGUGUGGGUGGGGCAAUGCUAUCGUCUGCGGGGGCUGGAGAGGAAAGUCGUCGUCUGCGAGGAUCUCGGCGAUGCUCAAAUAUUGCGAGCCAUGUCACAGUGCACGUCACAACUUGUCGUUAUCAAGCUGUUCAGCUCCCACGGACAUUAACACCUACACCUGUCACCUCUGGUUGUUGGGCUCCGUUCUCUGAACCUACCUUGGUUUAUUUGUUGUUGUUUUUUUCUAUUAUCAUCUAGAGAGAUUUUGUUGUACUAUUUAUAAAACAAAAGCAUACAAAUAUUUAAAUAUUUAUGAUGGAUAGAGAGAAUUCCAGUGUCGGGCAGGACAUAUAAAGUCACUGCCUGUCAAUGAGAGUAAAAUUGGUUUGAUAUCCGAUGUUUCCUUUAAAGUCGCAGUUUCCAAGAACCUAUCGCCGACGUUGAGUGACGACUUGACGACCACUUUCAUCGCCUCAUGUUGCUCGGUCCUUCUCUACACGAGGGGCAGGACUUGUCAGGGCUGCAAAAGCAAUAUUUUUAUUAUCCUUUAACAGCUCACUGCAGACUGUCUGGCAAAUUCUGAAAUUGUUAUACAGAUUUGUUUGUGCUUAAAGUUUUGUCAUUUUUUUAAUUUGCGUGUUGCGAGGUACAGGUGGCGCUGUACAGCAGGGGUCAGACCGGGGGGAGCGUUGUGCAGGCUGACAAUGACAAGUAUAGCCUUAUAACAUCGCACACUGUGGGACACAUUGGUUCAUUCCAACAAAGCUUCGGUUACAAAGAGCAAAAGUAAGGGAGACAAGCAGGUGACUAGAUGAUAGGAAGGGGAGGUAACACCGACUUCCACAGUUCUGUGUCUUGCUGUGUAUGGAGGAGACUGGAGAUCAGGUUUUGUCUACACAUUAGGUCUGUCUGUUAAAACACAGAAUACCUACAGACACCUACGUGUUCACUUGAUGUCACGUGACCACAUUUCAUCAAAGGUUUGUAUCCUGUAGCUGAUAAUAGUUUCUAUUUUUAGAUAGUAGCGGGACUGGUCUGCUUGACACUGUGACCGGACUACGAGGCACCAAGGGUUCUGUAACCAGUCCCCCGUUCCUCUUUCUUGCUCCAGGGAGGAGGACAAAAGCUCCCAAGAAAAUGUUUAUGAAAAUUCUGGCUUUCACUUGGCGAGUGAGCUCUUUGAUCAAUCACCUCGUGUUG